AGAUUGAACGCUGGCGGCAGGCCUAACACAUGCAAGUCGAGCGGUAGAGAGGUGCUUGCACCUCUUGAGAGCGGCGGACGGGUGAGUAAUGCCUAGGAAUCUGCCUAGUGGUGGGGGAUAACGUUCGGAAACGGACGCUAAUACCGCAUACGUCCUACGGGAGAAAGCGGGGGACCUUCGGGCCUCGCGCCAUUAGAUGAGCCUAGGUCGGAUUAGCUAGUUGGUGAGGUAAUGGCUCACCAAGGCGACGAUCCGUAACUGGUCUGAGAGGAUGAUCAGUCACACUGGAACUGAGACACGGUCCAGACUCCUACGGGAGCAGCAGUGGGAAUAUUGGACAAUGGGCGAAAGCCUGACUCCAGCCAUGCCGCGUGUGUGAAGAAGGUCUUCGGAUUGUAAAGCACUUAAGUUGGAGGAAGGUUAGUAACGUUAAUACGUUAGCUAACUUUGACGUUACCGACAGAAUAAGCGAACCGACUAACCUUACGUCCG
rnacentral:rRNA from 1 species